GACGAACGCUGGCGGCGUGCUUAACACAUGCAAGUCGAACGGGAAGGCCCUGCUGUUGUGGGGUGCUCGAGGGGCGAACGGGUGAGUAACACGUGAGUAACCUGCCCUUGACUUUGGGAUAACUUCAGGAAACUGGGGCUACUACCGGAUAGGAGCUCCUGCUGCAUUGUGGGGGUUGGAAAGUUUCGGCGGUUGGGGAUGGACUCGCGGCUUAUCAGCUUGUUGGUGGGGUAGUGGCUUACCAAGGCUUUGACGGGUAGCCGGCCUGAGUGGGUGACCGGCCACAUUGGGACUGAGAUACGGCGCAGAGUCCUACGGGAGACAGCAGUGGGGAUUAUUGCACAAUGGGCGGAAGCCUGAUGAAGCACCGCCGCGUGCGGGAUGACGGCCUUCGGUUUGUAAACCGCUUUCGCCUGUGACGAAGCGUGAGUGACGGUAAUGGGUAAAGAAGCACCGGCUAACUACGUG
rnacentral:rRNA from 1 species